rnacentral:rRNA from 1 species
CAGUCGCCGCGGUAAUACGGAGGGGGCUAGCGUUGUUCGGAAUUACUGGGCGUAAAGCGCACGUAGGCGGCUUGGUAAGUUAGAGGUGAAAGCCUGGAGCUCAACUCCAGAAUUGCCUUUGAUACUGGGUAUCUAGAGUCCGGAAGAGGUGAGUGGAAUUCCCAGUGUAGAGGUGAAAUUCGUAGAUAUUGGGAAGAACACCGGUGGCGAAGGCGGCGACCUGGUUCAUGACUGACGCUGAGGCGCGAAAGCGUGGGGAGCAAACAGGAUUAGAUACCCCAGUAGUCCCUGUCUCUUAUAC